UACAGAGGGUGCGAGCGUUAAUCGGAAUUACUGGGCGUAAAGGGCGCGUAGGUGGUUACUUAAGUGAGAUGUGAAAUCCCUGGGCUUAACCUAGGAACUGCAUCUUAUACUGGGUAACUGGAGUGCGGUAGAGGGUAGUGGAAUUUCCGGUGUAGCGGUGAAAUGCGUAGAUAUCGGAAGGAACACCAGUGGCGAAGGCGGCUACCUGGACUGACACUGACACUGAGGCGCGAAAGCGUGGGGAGCAAACAGG
rnacentral:rRNA from 1 species